GGGUUCCAUGCGGCUGGUUCCAUGCUGUAGCUGAGGAGACUGGAAUGGUUUGUGUGUCCUGCUCUGUGUGUUACUGCUGGAUGAUGUGAGGGGAAUUCAGGCGAGCUCUGACCUUGCGACAUGGAUGCAUUGACCUUUGAUGAUGUGCAUGUACACUUCACUCGGGAGGAGUGGUCCUUGCUGGAUCCAUCUCAGAAGAGACUUUACAAAGAUGUGAUGCUGGAGAUCUACAAAAACCUCACUGCCAUAGGGUACAAAUGGAAAGACCAUAACGUUGGAGAACAUUCUCAAAAUGAUAGAAGAUAUGGAAGGUAUAUCAUAUGUCAUACUGGAUACAGGCCAUAUGAGCAGAAGAAUUUGAAAGAAACACAGUAUCAC
rnacentral:lncRNA from 1 species